GACGAACGCUGGCGGCGUGCUUAACACAUGCAAGUCGAACGGAAAGGCCCUGCUUUUGUGGGGUGCUCGAGUGGCGAACGGGUGAGUAACACGUGAGUAACCUGCCCUUGACUUUGGGAUAACUUCAGGAAACUGGGGCUAAUACCGGAUAGGAGCUCCUGCUGCAUGGUGGGGGUUGGAAAGUUUCGGCGGUUGGGGAUGGACUCGCGGCUUAUCAGCUUGUUGGUGGGGUAGUGGCUUACCAAGGCUUUGACGGGUAGCCGGCCUGAGAGGGCGACCGGCCACAUUGGGACUGAGAUACGGCCCAGACUCCUACGGGAGGCAGCAGUGGGGAAUAUUGCACAAUGGGCGGAAGCCUGAUGCAGCAACGCCGCGUGCGGGAUGACGGCCUUCGGGUUGUAAACCGCUUUCGCCUGCGACGAAGCGUGAGUGACGGUAAUGGGUAAAGAAGCACCGGCUAACUACGUG
rnacentral:rRNA from 1 species